UUUUUCAUUAACCUUCCCUCAGAUAAGACAGUGUAAAAAUAAGCCAUUGGAUGUCCAGCUGAGAGAAAUCAGUAGUAUAUUCUAAUAUAUUUCUUCAUAGUUAAAUACACGCGUUAUUGCGUAUAACUUAUUAUUAGUGUUUAUUAAAAAAAUUUUCUUUUUGCGUUUUCUGAGCUCUGAACCAUUCCAUUUAACAUGGGGAGGGAUUCCUGAUGCGGAGGGAGGUCGGAUCCUGCACAGCCUUGGUGUGGCCAAUCACAGGUCCCAACACAGGGGGCGUGCUCUCUUCAAUGCCUCCCGUCCCUAUUAUUAACAUCUGAUGGGACGCGCGCGCAUAUCCGGCCACUAUUUCGUCUCUGGCCGGUCUGAGACUGUUAAUACAUGUCUCCUUCCUAUGCGCUCCAGCUUACAUCAUCACGCUGGAGCGCAUGGGAUGCGCGCGCAAGUGUCUUGGGACACGUGGACCGGAUAUGACGCCAGGGGUCAUGCUUGACUCUCUUCACUUCCGGUGGAGAUGUUGCUCUUAAGGUCAGCGCUGACACAGUGUGUGUCAGACGCCGACUUGGACGGCUUGAGGGAGGAUAUCACGCCACACAUGCAACGCUGCCUUACUUAGCCUCGCGGUGUUAAGACAUAAAUAAGAAUCGCAGUAUAAACAACAUAUAUAACUGCCCUUGGACUAUUCUACAGCAUUGUCUUUGGUUAUAAUACUACUGGGAUAUUAUAUCCCCCUAGGACAUCAGCAUAUUUUACUAGAUACUUCAUGUCAUUAACCAUCUAAGAGCUUACCGUGAAUCCAGUGUGAACUCUGCUGGACUCUACUAGCAGUAUUGAGCUUAUAUCCAAACUUCACUACUAUUGAGGAGAGAAAUAGAUACAACGUAUUCUUACCUGUAUCUCUUCCUCCUUAACUGUGGUGAACCCCCUCUUUACAUCUCAUUGUCCGCACCUGCUAAAAUCAAGUGGAUCUGGCCUCCGCUGAUUGAAAGUGCAGCAUCCAAUAUCUCCUGUCCGCAUCAGGUUCGCCUUCGCUAUUUUUCUUGGCAGCUCCUCUUGGUUCUGCCAGGUUCUUUGAGCUCUUUAAACAUAAUUGGUAAGCGCACUAUAUUCUCUUAUUCUUAUUUUAUUAAUUGUAUAUGUGUUGAACACUUAUUUACAAAGUUUAAAGAUACUACAUUGACCCUACCUGAAUUAAUAAUGAACCUUUGUGUCAUACACAGACCACUACAUGUAAUUAAGGAACAGAAGUAUCAUGCAAGCCCUGAUGAAGCACAUCUAGUG